rnacentral:rRNA from 1 species
AUUGAACGCUGGCGGCAGGCCUAACACAUGUAAGUCGAACGGUAGCACAGAGAGCUUGCUCUCGGGUGACGAGUGGCGGACGGGUGAGUAACGUCUGGGAAACUGCCCGAUGGAGGGGGAUAACUACUGGAAACGGUAGUUAAUACCGCAUAACGUCGCAAGACCAAAGUGGGGGACCUUCGGGCCUCACACCAUCGGAUGUGCCCAGAUGGGAUUAGCUAGUAGGUGGGGUAAUGGCUCACCUAGGCGACGAUCCCUAGCUGGUCUGAGAGGAUGACCAGCCACACUGGAACUGUGACACGGUCCAGACUCCUACGGGAGGCAGCAGUGGGGAAUAUUGCACAAUGGGCGCAAGCCUGAUGCAGCCAUGCCGCGUGUAUGAAGAAGGCCUUCGGGUUGUAAAGUACUUUCAGCGGGGAGGAAGGCGGUGAAGUUAAUAACUUCACCGAUUGACGUUACCCGCAGAAGAAGCACCGGCUAACUCCGUGCCAGCAGCCGCCGCGG